AGUGCGGGAGAGCGAGAGAGCGAGGACAGGACAGAAAGUGUGGGAGAACAGUUUCCCAUCGUUCACGUUGCACCGACUUCCCUCCGCGAGAACUGAGAGGAAAGUGAACUCAGCGGAAUUUGAAUGGAUCGUUUUACUACUUCAGUCCCCGCUGAUGAUCGGUACGGAAUAAUGUCCUCCUAUCGUUCCACCACCUGAAGAGCGCCGAUCGAUUUUCUCAGGAUAUUUUCAAGGGGAGUGAUGCCCAGACCCAAUUAGGGUCUACGACUAAGCUACCCCAAAAAACAGCUGAAUGCUGGGUGACUGACCGCUGAUCCCGCCUCCAGAAUACAACCGACGGCGGUGAGACGCGCGGGCACAAGAUGGCCACCGAGGAGGCGGAGCGAGGACCCGGGUCCUCCGCGGUAGGCGCACACGUUGCCUCCCCCCAGCCCACCCCC